rnacentral:rRNA from 1 species
AAUCCAUAGGUUAAUGAGGCGAACCGGGGGAACUGAAACAUCUAAGUACCCCGAGGAAAAGAAAUCAACCGAGAUUCCCCCAGUAGCGGCGAGCGAACGGGGAGGAGCCCAGAGCCUGAAUCAGCAUGUGUGUUAGUGGAAGCGUCUGGAAAGGCGCGCGAUACAGGGUGACAGCCCCGUACACAAAAGCGCAUGUGCUGUGAGCUCGAUGAGUAGGGCGGGACACGUGGUAUCCUGUCUGAAUAUGGGGGGACCAUCCUCCAAGGCUAAAUACUCCUGACUGACCGAUAGUGAACCAGUACCGUGAGGGAAAGGCGAAAAGAACCCCGGCGAGGGGAGUGAAAAAGAACCUGAAACCGUGUACGUACAAGCAGUGGGAGCACCCUUUGGGGUGUGACUGCGUACCUUUUGUAUAAUGGGUCAGCGACUUAUAUUCUGUAGCAAGGUUAACCGUAUAGGGGAGCCGGAGGGAAACCGAGUCUUAAUUGGGCGUUAAGUUGCAGGGUAUAGACCCGAAACCCGGUGAUCUAGCCAUGGGCAGGUUGAAGGUUGGGUAACACUAACUGGAGGACCGAACCGACUAAUGUUGAAAAAUUAGCGGAUGACCUGUGGCUGGGGGUGAAAGGCCAAUCAAACCGGGAGAUAGCUGGUUCUCCCCGAAAGCUAUUUAGGUAGCGCCUCGUGAAUUCAUCUCCGGGGGUAGAGCACUGUUUCGGCUAGGGGGCCAUCCCGGCUUACCAACCCGAUGCAAACUGCGAAUACCGGAGAAUGUUAUCACGGGAGACACACGGCGGGUGCUAACGUCCGUCGUGAAGAGGGAAACAACCCAGACCGCCAGCUAAGGUCCCAAAGUCAUGGUUAAGUGGGAAACGAUGUGGGAAGGCCCAGACAGCCAGGAUGUUGGCUUAGAAGCAGCCAUCAUUUAAAGAAAGCGUAAUAGCUCACUGGUCGAGUCGGCCUGCGCGGAAGAUGUAACGGGGCUAAACCAUGCACCGAAGCUGCGGCAGCGAACGUAUCACCCAAGACAACUUUGCGGAGUUGACGAUUGACGGAGCGAAGCGACGUCAAAGCGUUCAUUAAAGUCGAGUUGGCUUAGGGAUACGUUCGUUGGGUAGGGGAGCGUUCUGUAAGCCUGUGAAGGUGGCCUGUGAGGGUUGCUGGAGGUAUCAGAAGUGCGAAUGCUGACAUAAGUAACGAUAAAGCGGGUGAAAAGCCCGCUCGCCGGAAGACCAAGGGUUCCUGUCCAACGUUAAUCGGGGCAGGGUGAGUCGACCCCUAAGGCGAGGCCGAAAGGCGUAGUCGAUGGGAAACGGGUUAAUAUUCCCGUACUUGGUGUUACUGCGAAGGGGGGACGGAGAAGGCUAUGUUGGCCGGGCGACGGUU